UACGAAAGAUGUGCUGCCAAACAUGACCC
rnacentral:piRNA from 1 species